CCCAAACCCUUUGACAGUGCUUGCACGUAAAAAGAACUGGUAAGUGGUCCCAGGAUGUAAAUGUGAAAAGACGUGGUGUGUGCUGUUCCACAGUUUUGACACAGUUUGUGGAGGUCCUGCCACUGGGACCGCAGGAUCAAAUGACCGUAUACUGCUGUAGCUCACCUCGUACUGAGUAAUGAUGCCAUUUGGGUCCACAGGUUCUUUCCAGUUGAGGAAGAUCUUAUCUUCAAAAGGAGUUCCUUUCACUGACUUGGCAGGUAUAGGACCUGGAACAUCUUCGUCUGUCUGGAUAAUGGUCUCCUCGCUUUCCUUCCUCCCUUCUGGGUUGGUUAAGAUCAUUUUGAGGCUGACAUUUGUGUACGGAGGCAGAUGAUCCACAACAUGCUGGGG
rnacentral:lncRNA from 1 species